CGCUGGCGGCGUGCCUAAUACAUGCAAGUCGAACGGUCUUUUCUAUGGAAGCUUGCUUCCACUGAGAAGAUAGUGGCGAACGGGUGAGUAACACGUGGGUAACCUGCCCAUAAGAGGGGGAUAACAUCCGGAAACGGGUGCUAAUACCGCAUAGUUUUCUUGAUUGCAUGAUUGAGAAAGGAAAGACGGCCUUUGUGCUGUCGCUUAUGGAUGGACCCGCGGCGUAUUAGUUAGUUGGUGAGGUAACGGCUCACCAAGACGAUGAUACGUAGCCGACCUGAGAGGGUGAUCGGCCACAUUGGGACUGAGACACGGCCCAAACUCCUACGGGAGGCAGCAGUAGGGAAUCUUCCGCAAUGGACGAAAGUCUGACGGAGCAACGCCGCGUGAGUGAAGAAAGGUUUUCGGAUCGUAAAACUCUGUUGUCAGAGAAGAACAAGUUGGAGAGUAACUGCUCCAGCCUUGACGGUAUCUGACCAGAAAGCCACGGCUAACUACGUGCCAGCCGCAGC
rnacentral:rRNA from 1 species